rnacentral:rRNA from 1 species
UACGAGAGGCCCAAACGUUAUUCGGAAUUACUGGGCUUAAAGAGUCCGUAGGCGGCGCAGAAAGUAGGGUGUGAAAGCCCUCGGCUUAACCGAGGAAUUGCGCUCUAAACUACUGUGCUUGAGGAACCUAGAGGUGAGCGGAACUGAUGGUGGAGCGGUGAAAUGCGUUGAUAUCAUCAGGAACACCGGAGGCGAAGGCGGCUCACUGGGGGUUUUCUGACGCUGAGGGACGAAAGCCAGGGGAGCGAACGGGAUUAGAAACCCCCGUAGUCC